GGGCUCACGGGGUUCCUGAGUGGGUGCCGGUACUGGUGCAGAGGGUUCUUGCCCAGGAUCGGUUAUGAAAAAGAUGGGACACCCUGUACCAGGUUUUUCCGAAGCGGUGUCUGCCGAAACGGCAGCUGCAUCACGGAUGUCCCACCCGAUCCGAGUCUGCAAACAACCAGCGGCACGCCUGGCGGGCAAAACAGCCGGGGUGUCGCCCAGUCGACCGGCGGUGACCGAAGCACCGUAGCUACUAGGGUGGCUACCGUAGCCGCAACGAACUCCACUGGAUGGGUACAAGCCAAUAAUGGAACCGAAAGCAGCGCUGCAUUAAUGGCGUUGGCGAAAUGAAUGAGGAAGACCACGUGACAACGCCGUGGCGAGUCAGUCCUGGUGUCUCUGCACAAGCGGAGAGCUCCAUCAGUCGCACAGGAAUAGACAACAAUAAA
rnacentral:lncRNA from 1 species